UCCACCUCCCACCCGUGUUUAACGAACCUUGUUGCUUCGGCGAGCCCGCCUCACGGCCGCCGGGGGGCAUCUGCCCCCGGGCCCGCGCCCGCCGAAGCCACCUGUGAACUCGUCUGAAGUAUGUAGUCUGAGACAAUUAUUAAAUUAAUUAAAACUUUCAACAACGGAUCUCUUGGUUCCGGCAUCGAUGAAGAACGCAGCGAAAUGCGAUAACUAAUGUGAAUUGCAGAAUUCAGUGAAUCAUCGAGUCUUUGAACGCACAUUGCGCCCUCUGGUAUUCCGGAGGGCAUGCCUGUCCGAGCGUCAUUGCUGCCCUCCAGCCCGGCUGGUGUGUUGGGCCCCGUCCCCCUUCCCGGGGGGACGGGCCCGAAAGGCAGCGGCGGCACCGCGUCCGGUCCUCGAGCGUAUGGGGCUUUGUCACCCGCUCUUGUAGGCCCGGCCGGCGCCAGCCGACCCCCUCAAUCUAUUUUUCAGGUUGACCUCGGAUCAGGUAGGGAUACCCGCUGAACUUAAGCAUAUCAAUAAACGGAGGAA
rnacentral:rRNA from 1 species